rnacentral:misc_RNA from 1 species
AACGCACGAGACCUGCGGACCUGCGGAAGGAUCAUUAAUGAGAAGCUGCCCCUCGUGGGUAGACCUCCCACCCUCCGUGAACUUACCUUUGUUGCUUUGGCAGGCCCGUCCUCUGGACCGCCGGCUUCGGCUGGCCCGUGCCUGCCAGAGGAUUCCAAACCCUGUCUGUCAGUGUUGUCUGAGUCUAUAUGAAAUCGUUAAAACUUUCAACAAUGGAUCUCUAGAUCGGAAGAGCACACG